ACAACAUCAACUUCACACAACACAGAAAGAAACAGGUACAACAUCAACUUCACACAACACAGAAAGAAACAGGUACAACAUCAACUUCACACACAACACAGAAAGAAACAGGUACCACAACAACUUCACACGCAACACAGAAAGAAACAGGUACCACAACAACUUCACACACAACACAGAAAGAAACAGGUACCACAACAACUUCACACAACACAGAAAGAAACAAGUACCACAACAACUUCACACACAACACAGAAAGAAACAGGUACCACAUCAA